UACGUAGGGGGCUAGCGUUGUCCGGAUUUAUUGGGCGUAAAGAGCGUGUAGGCGGCCAGGUAGGUCUGCUGUGAAAACUCGAGGCUCAACCUCGAGCUGUCGGCGGAAACCAUCUGGCUAGAGUCCGGAAGAGGAGAGUGGAAUUCCUGGUGUAGCGGUGAAAUGCGCAGAUAUCGGGAGGAACACCAAUGGCGAAAGCAGGUAACUGGACUAUUACUGACACUCAACUGCGAAAGCUAGGGGAGCAAACAGG
rnacentral:rRNA from 1 species